UCCAGCGGGAGUCCACGUCCACGGAGUAAACAAAGCUGCAGGGGACACAAAGCAGGAAGCAGGUCAGCACGGCGCCACAAGAACAAAGCGAACGACCGACCGGGAGGUCAUUGGGUUUAAUUAAUCCUCCGGUAAAUGUUUGCCGCUGUGGCUGUCGAGAAGCUUUGGUACAGAGGAACGUCUUUGUAUCCGUUUAUAAGCCGCUGUGACCUGGAACUCUUCAGAACUACCAACGCGCACGAGGUGGAAACCACUUCAAACAAAGCACUGUGAAGGCGUGACACACUUUCAUCUGCCGAAUGGACCCCCUCCCCCACCCCCGGGUGUUUACACGAGGACAUUAGUCAAAUAAAAAAAAGUUCCAUAUUUACUAGUGGGCACAAACCCAAACUGUCCUCACCUGCAACAGUUAGCUAUCGUUCCCUUUAGCAGCGCUAAAAACGUCUUAAUAAUAAUUCUGAUUAAAAGAAAACAGACGCAAAAAAGGUCUGAAAUGAA